CGUGUAGGCGGCUUGACAAGUCAGAUGUGAAAUCCCUGGGCUUAACCCAGGAAGUGCAUUUGAAACUGUCUGGCUCGAGUAAGGGAGAGGAAAGUGGAAUUCCUGGUGUAGAGGUGAAAUUCGUAGAUAGUCAGGAGGAACACCGGUGGCGAAGGCGACUUUCUGGCCCUAUACUGACGCUGAGACGCGAAAGCGUGGGUAGCAAACA
rnacentral:rRNA from 1 species